AUGAGGCCCUGCCAGGCACCCUACAAACACAGAACAGUGGACGGCCCCUUGCCACAGUCCAAGGACUUGUCCACACGGGGAAGUUACUGCUCAUUAAAUGAAGGUGUGUGCAUGAAAAGUAGUUCUUCGUGCUGGGCAGUUUGCUCCACACGGUGCGUCUCCGGGAGGUUUCAGCGCAUUGUGAAUCCCCAGGUUAACCUACCACGCAAGCAAGUUCCAGCACUGGCUGCAGGGAUCCCAAGGUGAGAAUGGAUUUCAUCUUCUUCUGAAAGAGGACGCAGAGAGCAUGGCUGGCAGCAACAUGCAACUUAGACUAAAAUGCAGAAUGUCAGAAAGAUUUAGGUUGAACCCUGGAGGUCUCUACUCCAACUAGCUAUUCAAAGCAGAUCUAGACUUCAAGGUAGAUCAGAGAAGUUUUCAACAUCUCUGUGGACAGAAAUUCUGCAACCUCUCUGUGAAACCAGAGAGUUUUACUUCCAGUGUUUGACUAGUCUCCUGGUGAAGAACUUUUUCCUAUUAGCCAGUCAGAACUUCUUUCGUUGAGUUUUGCGAUCAUUGCCUCUUGUCCUUUUGCUGAGCAACUCUGAGAAGAAUCUAGCUCUGCCUUCUCUACAAUCCCCCUUUAGAGAGCUGAGGACAGCAAUUAGAUCUUCCCUUGGCCUUUUCUUCUCCGGGUUAAACAUACGCAGUUCCCUCAGCCCCUCGUCCUCUGUUACUCAUUCCACCCCCCAACAUUGAAGCAUUUUACCCUAAAUUAAUGUGAACAUUAUUCCAUAACUGCAGAGGUCCAAACCAGGACACCCACUGACCUCCGGAAUAGCAGAAUAUCACCCUGUGUAUUUUUAAUGAUGAAAUGACAACAUUUUAAAAUCAUUUGAGGGUUUUUUCCUCCUUGUGUAUAGGAUAAAUGUUGCUAUAAAUAACACAGUAAGUGAAAAACAAUCUGUCAGUGUUUUCCUUCUGCACUGUCUGAACAAUCUACAUGUAAAGUUCGUUUAAAACUUAUUAUGAUGCUUUAAAACAUUUCUGAGAAAAGAUCUUUUAUUUAUGUUGAGUUAUAUUUUCUUACAAGUUGUACAAAAUAUAGCAACAAAUUACAGCACAGCAGGUGACUGUCCCCCUCUGCCAGGUAUUAAGCCUGUAGCUUGGCCAGCUGAGCCACACUAAGCAGCAGAUAAAACCUGCAGAUUGACCAGACCCAACUGGCACCUGCAGAAUUAACACCUGCAAUUUUGCUCUGCUAAGU
rnacentral:lncRNA from 1 species